rnacentral:misc_RNA from 1 species
AAGUCGUAACAAGGUCUCCGUAGGUGAACCUGCGGAGGGAUCAUUACAGCGUGCAAACGCCCCAACCCAUGUGAAUUGAUACUUGUUCUUUCGGCCGGCGCCCUUGGAGGGCCCCGGCUGUAGGCCUACGGGCCUGCAGCGCCGGCCGGGAGGUCACACUCUGAAAACACUUCUCUGAGUACCUACAAAAUAAGUCAAAACCUUUAACAACGGAUCUCUUGGUUCUGGC